AGGGUGUAAACGCUGCAGACUUGGUGUUGGAGGCCCUUUGGGGGCAUUCAGUGCCGGAGAGAAGUUGUUAAGUCUGCUACUUGGGGAGUACGUCCGCAAGGAUGAAACUUAAAGGAAUUGGCGGGGGGAGGCACCGCAACGGGAGGAGCGUGCGGUUUAAUUGGAUUCAACACCGUAAAACUACACCAGGGAAGACUGUUACAUGAAGGCCGAGAUGAAGACUCUGCUAGAUUUUCAGAGAGGUGGUGCAUGGCGUCAGUGACU
rnacentral:rRNA from 1 species